GGGUCUAGGGUUCCAUCUCUUUCCUUAGUGCCAACUCUGCUUGGGUAUUGGUCAUCCUACAACCAUUUGCUGCUAGAGCCACCACUUUUCAAGCCAUAUGUCUCACUAAGGCUAAGGUUCUCUCCUUCUAUCUCUCUAAUACAUAGGCAUUGUGGAUCCUCAAGUGCUGUUGGAACCACGAAUGUAGCUCACUUAUAUUAUUAUUAACAAGCA
rnacentral:lncRNA from 1 species